UACGGAGGGGGCUAGCGUUGUUCGGAAUUACUGGGCGUAAAGCGCGCGUAGGCGGCUUUGUAAGUUAGAGGUGAAAGCCCAGGGCUCAACCCUGGAAUUGCCUUUAAGACUGCAUCGCUUGAACAUCGGAGAGGUAAGUGGAAUUCCGAGUGUAGAGGUGAAAUUCGUAGAUAUUCGCAAGAACACCAGUGGCGAAGGCGGCUCACUGGCCCGAUACUGACGCUGAGGCACGAAAGCGUGGGGAGCAAACGGG
rnacentral:rRNA from 1 species